rnacentral:rRNA from 1 species
CUACGGGACGCUGCAGUCGAGAAUAGUCUACAAUGGGGGAAACCCUGAUAGUGCGACGCCGUGUGUGUGAUGAAUUUCUUCGGGAUGUAAAGCACUUUUCUUUAAGAUAAAUACUCAGCAGGUAAAUAGCUUGUUGGGGGCGAUAUUAUUAUAGGAAUAAGCUCCGGCUAACUCCGUGCCAGCAGCCGCGGUAAUACGGAAGGAGCGAGCGUUGUCCGGAUUUACUAGGCGUAAAGGGCUAGUAGGCGGCUAAUUAAGUUAUAUGUUAAAUCCCACGGCUCAACUGUGGUCAUGCAUGUAAUACUGGUUAGAUAGAGUACUGUAGAGGAAGGCAGAAUUCCUGGAGUAGCGGUGGAAUGCGCAGAUAUCAGGAAGAAUACCAAAAGCGAAGGCAGCCUUCUGGGCAGUUACUGACGCUGAAUAGCGAAGGUGUGGGUAGCGAACAGGAUUAGAUACCCGGGUAGUC